UGAGGUGUCGUGUCGUUUCCUGAGCUGAGGUGUUGUGUCGUUUCCUGAGCUGAGGUGUUGUGUCGUUUCCUGAGCUGAGGUGUUGUGUUGUUUCCUGAGCUGAGGUGUUGUUUCCUGAGCUGAGGUGUUGUGUCCUGAGCUGAGGUGUUGUGUCCUGAGCUGAGGUGUUGUGUCCUGAGCUGUUGUGUUGUGUCCUGAGCUGAGGUGUUGUGUCCUGAGCUGAGGUGUUGUGUCCUGAGCUGAGGUGUUGUGUCCUGAGCUGAGGUGUUGUGUCCUGAGCUGAGGUGUUGUGUUGUGUCCUGAGCUGAGGUGUUGUGUUGUGUCCUGAGCUGAGGUGUUGUGUUGUGUCCUGAGCUGAGGUGUUGUGUUGUGUCCUGAGCUGAGGUGUUGUGUUGUGUCCUGAGCUGAG